rnacentral:rRNA from 1 species
GGGGCGUCCCUUCUGGGACGCCACCGGCGGACGGCUCAGUAACACGUCGGUAACCUACCCUCGGGAGGGGGAUAACCCCGGGAAACUGGGGCUAAUCCCCCAUAGGCCUGGGGUACUGGAAGGUCCCCAGGCCGAAAGGGAGCCGUAAGGCUCCGCCCGAGGAUGGGCCGGCGGCCGAUUAGGUAGUUGGUGGGGUAACGGCCCACCAAGCCGAAGAUCGGUACGGGCCGUGAGAGCGGGAGCCCGGAGAUGGACACUGAGACACGGGUCCAGGCCCUACGGGGCGCAGCAGGCGCGAAACCUCCGCAAUGCGGGAAACCGCGACGGGGGGACCCCCAGUGCCGUGCCUCUGGCACGGCUUUUCCGGAGUGUAAAAAGCUCCGGGAAUAAGGGCUGGGCAAGGCCGGUGGCAGCCGCCGCGGUAAUACCGGCGGCCCGAGUGGUGGCCACUAUUAUUGGGCCUAAAGCGGCCGUAGCCGGGCCCGUAAGUCCCUGGCGAAAUCCCACGGCUCAACCGUGGGGCUCGCUGGGGAUACUGCGGGCCUUGGGACCGGGAGAGGCCGGGGGUACCCCCGGGGUAGGGGUGAAAUCCUAUAAUCCCGGGGGGACCGCCAGUGGCGAAGGCGCCCGGCUGGAACGGGUCCGACGGUGAGGGCCGAAGGCCAGGGGAGCGAACCGGAUUAGAUACCCGGGUAGUCCUGGCUGUAAAGGAUGCGGGCUAGGUGUCGGGCGAGCUUCGAGCUCGCCCGGUGCCGUAGGGAAGCCGUUAAGCCCGCCGCCUGGGGAGUACGGCCGCAAGGCUGAAACUUAAAGGAAUUGGCGGGGAGCACUA